GGGGGAAUAUUGCACAAGGGAGGGAACUCUGAUGCAGCGACGCCGCGUGAACGAAGAAGGCUUUCGAGUCGUAAAGUUCUUUUAUAUGGGAAGAUAAUGACGGUACCAUAAGAAAAAGCCGCGGGUAACUACGUGCAAGCAGCCGCGGUAAUACGUAGGGGGGUAGCGUUGUCCGGAAUCACUGGGCGUAAAGGGUUCGCAGGCGGAAAUGCAAGUCAGUUGUAAAAGGCAGUAGCUUAACUACUGUAAGCAUUUGAAACUGCAUAUCUUGAGAAGAGUAGAGGUAAGUGGAGUUUUUAGUGUAGCGGUGAAAUGCGUAGAUAUUAUAAUGAAGACCGCUGGCGAAGCCGACUUACUUGGCUCAUUCUGACGCUGAGGAGCGAAAGCGUGGGUAGCAGACAGG
rnacentral:rRNA from 1 species